rnacentral:lncRNA from 1 species
GGGAUUUGUGACCCUGCAUGUCAGGAUGGCCAGACUCCAGGUGCCCAGAGCAGGUACAGGCUGGGACACCAGAUCCCCCUGUGGGCCCAACACCAUUAGCAUAUAGAGUUCCGAACACCAUGGAUACUUGAAAGAAUCCUGGAGGUAAGGCUUUAAGAACCUGAGAUCAUGGGCUCAGGAGAAGAAGUUUCCCCAGAAGCCCAGUUUCACCAGCCGAGGAAACAGCUGACCAGGGCACCGUGCUGCCAUCAUCCGGGACUCUCAGCCCCAGGUACUCUGGAAGGAGCAUAUCUUUCUGCCACAGGAACAAAGCUGUUUGGUUUUAAAUCCUCAUAAAAGGGCAAUGCUCAUUUCCUAUAUUGGGUUGUAUUUCCUAAUUACUGCCCCAAAGGAGAACUGGGGUAAGAGGAUAAGGGAAAGGAGGCUGGCUGCCUUCUCUUUGUGAGUUUAAAUAAAGUGUGAUUAAAAGCGCACCCUGCACAUU